rnacentral:rRNA from 1 species
GAUGAACGCUGGCGGCGUGCCUAAUACAUGCAAGUCGAGCGAACAGAUGAGGAGCUUGCUCCUCUGACGUUAGCGGCGGACGGGUGAGUAACACGUGGAUAACCUACCCAUAAGACUGGGAUAACUUCGGGAAACCGGAGCUAAUACCGGAUAAUAUAUUGAACCGCAUGGUUCAAUAGUGAAAGACGGUUUUGCUGUCACUUAUAGAUGGAUCCGCGCCGCAUUAGCUAGUUGGUAAGGUAACGGCUUACCAAGGCGACGAUGCGUAGCCGACCUGAGAGGGUGAUCGGCCACACUGGAACUGAGACACGGUCCAGACUCCUACGGGAGGCAGCAGUAGGGAAUCUUCCGCAAUGGGCGAAAGCCUGACGGAGCAACGCCGCGUGAGUGAUGAAGGUCUUCGGAUCGUAAAACUCUGUUAUUAGGGAAGAACAAAUGUGUAAGUAACUAUGCACGUCUUGACGGUACCUAAUCAGAAAGCCACGGCUAACUACGUG